GCCAGCCGCACCAGUGCCUGCCUCGCCGACGCCGCACGACCUGGCCGGUACCCAGGAGUCGUGAACUUGAUGGUGAACUGCCAGUCGACAGCUGAGUUCGAGGCUGCGAGCGUUUCUGCGAUAUUGAGACAUCAAGAUGUGAACCCCUAGCUACAAAUGGGAAUGAAUCUGAGAUUGAAGCGGAGAUACAUUCUUUGCUGAUACUCUAUCCAUCCGUGUUUCUUUCCACGCUGAUGCUCUCAGAUCCGAUCCUUCCAAUGAAGAAAUGACAUCUUCAUGAGGAUGA